AAAUUAGUGUGUAUGUAUGUGAGCAUGUGCAUGCGUGUGCAUACAUGUACUUGCAUAGUGUUUGUGAAUGCAUG
rnacentral:miRNA from 1 species